GGCUAUUGCGUUGAAGACAAACAAGGCCCCUUUUAUAGAAGUAUUGAGGACAUCGCUGGCAGAAUCGAACCAAAUAACUUAUUGCAACCACUGAGUAA